CUUCCCACAACUCCCCUCCGCACGCAGCCUUCCCACAACUCCCCGGGCCUUCCCACAACUCCCCUCCACACCCGGCCUUCCCACCACUCCCCUCAGCAGCCCGUUGCUCCCUCAGCACAGUCCCGAAGCAGGUGUGACUCAGGUGAGGAGGCAACCAGGUUAUGAGGGUGUCUCCAACUCAUCCUCAGGCAGCACUUAGAAAGCACACACUCCAGGCUCCUCCCCGGCCCAGGACUGGGUCCUAGGCCCUAAGCAGGUCCUCCAGGAACCGCUCCACUUUGACAGGCACUCAGAUCACACGCAUCACCACUGUCACCUGCUCACCUGUCUCCACAGCAGCCCGUCAGCUCCAAGAAGCCAGGGCUGUGUGCACUGCCCGCAAAGCGUCUGGCACACAAUUAAGCGUGUGGGGAGGGGCCACGGCAGGGCACGCACAUCAGCCAAGCUGAUCCAGAACCUCGCCACCACAACAUCCCCCAGGGAACUCGGAACCUGCAGGCCGAGGGCCCCUUCGGCACAGACAGCUCUCUGGUGACAAUAGCAA